UACAGAGGGUGCGAGCGUUAAUCGGAAUUACUGGGCGUAAAGCGCGCGUAGGCGGCUUUGCAAGUCGGGUGUGAAAUCCCCAGGCUUAACCUGGGAACUGCAUUCGAGACUGCAUUGCUAGAGUAUGGGAGAGGGAAGUGGAAUUUCCGGUGUAGCGGUGAAAUGCGUAGAUAUCGGAAGGAACAUCAGUGGCGAAAGCGACUUCCUGGACCAAUACUGACACUGAGGCACGAAAGCGUGGGGAGCAAACAGG
rnacentral:rRNA from 1 species